GGGGAAGGAGGGAAAGGUGGUCCUGAUUCUCUCGUGGCCAGAGACUACAAAACUGAUUCUGGCCUCCUGCGGAGACGCCUCUGCGCCCUCCAGCAGACCUGCUGUGCCCCCUCCCCAGGCACCCGGGCCCCGACAGGGUCCAGGAUGCCCCCCUCCCAGGGAGCCGCGGGCGGAGCUCCGAGGGACAGAGGAGGCGACCGAGAAGGAUGCUGCCGCCGCCACCGCCCUUGCCGUAGAGCCCGGGCUCCCGUAGUGCGCGAGGCUUCCCUUCCUAGGGCUAGGGGCUGGCGAGUGGCCUGGACGCCUGGGACCCCGCCUCUUGGAGUCGAGCGAGCGAGACACAGCCACCGCCCUCGGAAGAGCCGGGUUGUAGUGCGGAGCAUGAGACAGCGGGAGGCACCUUGGCCUAUCUGAAACCCCGGGCCUCGAGGCGGCUGCUUUAGGCGUCAAGUUGAGCGGGGUAUGUGUGCCCUCUUGGGGAAAGGGUAAGAAAAGGAGCCUGACUUUCCCUCCUCGGUUGGGGCAAACUGGGUCCCACUCACACACACCCAAACACAUGCCCAUGUGCAAGUCCCUCCCACCUGCCCUCCCUGGGGCGCAGAGACCCUAUCCGGGUGGAAGUGGGGAACCCCCAGUGCCCGCAGAAACGGAGUCCCUGGCGCAAGAAGGUGGAACGGGUUCCUCAGCCUGGACCCUGGCGUGGUGAACCCAGAAAGCCGAAACCCACGCAGCCAGCAACACCCAUCCGAACCUGGCGACUGGCGUGACCAGGCGGGAGAAAGAAGCGGAGCCGGGCCGCGCCGCAGCGUCCCUCCCCCCGGAGUCGCGGCGCCGGCCUGGGCGGACCCAGCCGAGCUGUUAAGGACUGAAAUGAAGCCGGGAACUUGCGGGGCUGGGGGGCAGGGAGAGCUCAGAGCGGCUCCAAAGGCCAGCAGGGGAGCAAGGCCCGAGGCCCUGGCGAGCCUGGGCUGGGGGAGAAGUCCCUUCCCAUUCCAGCUCGAUCAAUCUUCCUUGGCUGGGAUCGGUCAAUAAAAAUAGUGUGAAGCGGUGGUGGUAGCAGAGCGUCUGGGGAGGAAGUGGAGGCCAGAGGUGUCGAGGCCGGCGCCGGUGCCCCUCACCAGCCGGGUGCGCGCCCCCAUGGUCUGCAAACCUCAGGCCCGGGCCCAGAUCCUCUCGGGCCGCCGAGCGCGGCCAGGCAAGGCCUUUAAUUGGGUGUCUCCAUUUUAACAGUGUCCAUUGUUAGGGCAAUUAGCGAGAGACAAUCAGCACCGAGAGGCGUUUAAUUCGAUACUGUGCGCCCGCCGCAGCCUCGGCCGGGGCGCUUAGAACGACUGGCCGCGGCUUCCCCGGAGGACUGGGGAGGCGCCCGUUCCUUUCCUUGCGCGUUUUGUCUCAGGUGUGAGAGUGAAAGGUAGGCGACUGGGAAGAGAGCAACCUGAGACAGGCCUUGGCGGGAAACCCGUCAGGGCCUCAAAAUCUCUGCCAGGCGCCCCUGGGUGCCUUCUGGGCGCGCGCGCCCGGGCUGCGUCGCUGCCGGAGUUCCCAGGCCUGCUAGGAAAACGACGAGAGGAACGCGACCUGGAAACCAGUUUCCUUCUCCUUUUUGUGGGGUCCUCUCCUCAGCCACCCGAACCAAGUCCGAAUUUCCUUCCUGAUCAGAGAAGGCGGAGCAAAAGAGAGACCCUGGUUUGUGGCACGUACACACCUCCUUCUCGUACGGAGCCAGCCCCACUACCCCCUCCUCUGCCUCGGCCCCCGGAUUAGGUUACCGUGGUCGGGCAAGGAUUUUUACUGGAUACGAGAAUAACACAGGUAAAGCUGUAUAAACACCUCUCCGGCUGCCGGGCAGGAGGGUUACUCCGGGGACGCGGCCCAAGGCGCCACCGCCGGGCCAGGCUGCGCGGACCCAAACGCGGCGAAGCCCUCUCGGGAGCGGCAACCCGGCUGCACAGGUUAAACCAUAUCAUAUAUCCACGCCGCGCCCACCAGUGCCCUCUUUCUCUUUCCCGCAUGAGCUGAAAUGCAGAGUAGGGAGCGGAAUCACAGCGUGAUGAGAACCCCAGUGCUGGCUGAGGACCCCAGCUCAGCAAGUUUGACCCUUUUAAAAUAAAACACAGCGAGCAAGGACUUUGGGGAUAUGGAGAAAAAAAAGGCACCCAAAACUCACUCUCAACGGGAAGAUGCGGGAAGUGAACGCGUCCAAGGAGAGAACCCGUAGGAACUGCUACGAAAAGAGCUAUGUAUACUCGCCUUUUCUCCCGGCUCCCACGCCCAACCUCACGGGCCUGGGGUCUUCCCCCCCCCCCCCCGUGUGGAAUGAGCCACCUCUUUGGCAGUGAAAUGUGGUUUGAUUUACCCUUUUCUCUUUGUUUUUUGCUUAUUCAUCUGUCACUGCUUAAAACUCGGAAGGAAACCCGCCCAGGCCAGGAGGAGCGGAGAGCUAUGUGGAGAGUCAAAGAGAGAAGAGAUGCGCUCGGAGAUUACCCAUUCGCACUCCGCCCCCAGCCCCAGCCGCGGCGGGGGUCCCCGGUUUCGAGGGAUGCUGUCCCUCCCUCCGCCCCUACCACCUUAUUCCCAGGCUGAGAAAACCUCUGAUAGUAGCAAGAUAAAAAUUGGAUAG
ensembl:lncRNA